AGAGUUUGAUCAUGGCUCAGGAUGAACGCUGGCGGUCUGCUUAACACAUGCAAGUCGAACGGAUGCUUCGGCAUCAGUGGCGGACGGGUGAGUAACACGUGAGAAUCUGCCCUCAGGACGGGGACAACGACUGGAAACGGUCGCUAAUACCCGAUGUGCCGAGAGGUGAAAGAAAUUCGCCUGAGGAUGAGCUCGCGUCGGAUUAGCUAGUUGGGGAGGUAACGGCUCACCAAGGCGACGAUCCGUAGCUGGUCUGAGAGGAUGAUCAGCCACACUGGGACUGAGACACGGCCCAGACUCCUACGGGAGGCAGCAGUGGGGAAUUUUCCGCAAUGGGCGCAAGCCUGACGGAGCAAGACCGCGUGGGGGAGGAAGGUCUUCGGAUUGUAAACUCCUGUUGACCGGGAAGAAUGGGUCCCGACUGAAUACGUCGGGGCAAUGACGGUACCGGUUGAGGAAGCCACGGCUAACUCUGUGCCAGCCGCCGCGGUAAUAC
rnacentral:rRNA from 1 species